GCCGGGUGUGGUGGCUCACGCCUGUAAUCCCAGCAUUUUGGGAGGCCGAAGUGGGUGGAUCACCUGAGGCCAGGAGUUCAAGACCAGCCUGGCCAACAUGGUGAAACCCCAUCUCUA
rnacentral:SRP_RNA from 1 species